rnacentral:rRNA from 1 species
GUGGGGAAUAUUGGACAAUGGGGGAAACCCUGAUCCAGCCAUGCCGCGUGAAUGAUGAAGGCCUUCGGGUUGUAAAGUUCUUUUGGUGGGGACGAUGAUGACGGUACCCACAGAAUAAGCUCCGGCUAACUUCGUGCCAGCAGCCGCGGUAAUACGAAGGGAGCUAGCGUUGCUCGGAAUUACUGGGCGUAAAGGGCGCGUAGGCGGUUAGAAUAGUCAGAUGUGAAAGCCCUGGGCUCAACCCGGGAACUGCGUUUGAUACUUUCUAGCUUGAAUUCGGGAGAGGUGAGUGGAAUUCCCAGUGUAGAGGUGAAAUUCGUAGAGAUUGGGAAGAACACCAGUGGCGAAGGCGGCUCACUGGCCCGACAUUGACGCUGAGGCGCGAAAGCGUGGGGAGCAAACAGGAUUAGAUACCCUGGUAGUCC